AAGAUAAGAUUUCCCUAGGGCUUUAUGUCCUCUAAAGAGCCGUUCGAGACUAGGACGUUGAUAGGUUGGAUGUGGAAGCAUAGUGAUAUGUGAAGCUGACCAAUACUAAUUGCUCGUGAGGCUUGACUAUACAACACCCA
rnacentral:rRNA from 1 species